CGAAAGCCUGACGGAGCAACGCCGCGUGAGGGACGAAGGCCUCUGGGCUGUAAACCUCUUUUCUCAAGGAAGAAGAACUGACGGUACUUGAGGAAUAAGCCACGGCUAAUUCCGUGCCAGCAGCCGCGGUAAUACGGGAGUGGCAAGCGUUAUCCGGAAUUAUUGGGCGUAAAGCGUCCGCAGGCGGCCUCGUAAGUCUGUCGUUAAAGCGUGGAGCUUAACUCCAUUUCAGCGAUGGAAACUGUGAGGCUUGAGUGUGGUAGGGGCAGAGGGAAUUCCCGGUGUAGCGGUGAAAUGCGUAGAUAUCGGGAAGAACACCAGUGGCGAAGGCGCUCUGCUGGGCCAUAACUGACGCUCAUGGACGAAAGCCAGGGGAGCGAAAGGGAUUAGAUACCCCUGUAGUCCUGGCCGUAAACGAUGAACACUAGGUGUCGGGGGAAUCGACCCCCUCGGUGUCGUAGCCAACACGUUAAGUGUUCCGCCUGGGGAGUACGCACGCAAGUGUGAAACUCAAAGGAAUUGACGGGGGCCCGCACAAGCGGUGGAGUAUGUGGUUUAAUUCGAUGCAACGCGAAGAACCUUACCAGGGUUUGACAUCCUGCGAAUCCCUUGGAAACGAGGGAGUGCCUUCGGGAACGCAGUGACAGGUGGUGCAUGGCUGUCGUCAGCUCGUC
rnacentral:rRNA from 1 species